ACGGAGCUUCCCAAUCUAAUCCUGGAGGCAGAGCAAAGCGUUGCCGGGGUUUUAAUGCUGCCAUCGUCCCCUGUUUGCAAAGAUGGAGAAGAUGUUUUUGAAAAGAUCCUGACCUCUUCUAUCAGGUCCAGCCCGUGAGUGGCAGCGAGUCUGGGCAUCAGCUUCCUUCCAGACACAGAACUCCUCAGAAGUCACCAGGAAACAAGCCUGAAAGGACUCUGGGAUGUGAGAGGGAGGAGCGCUGACUGGGGCUGCUGGCACAGGAGCCCAGGUUGAGGCACAGCUCACCACGAGCUGAAUCUGUUUGUGACCUGUUGGAUCUGUGGCUUGACCCAGCACAACCCUUCACAACCCAUCUUUCUCUUCCUUCGCUGAGAAUUCUGCGGAUAUUUUGUUUAGCAAACAUUUUUUUCAUGCAAAAUGAGAGGAUAGAUCCAAGAAAAGGGAGGAUGCUCACAUUUCCCUAUCAGUUCUUUUUAUUGUAUUAAAGAAAAUAUUCGGAAUCAACAGGUUUGUGU